CUGGCGGCGGGCUUAACGCAUGCAUUCGAACGAGAAGCUCCAGCUUGCUGGAGUGGAAAGUGGCGCACGGGUGCGUAACGCGUAGGCAACCUGCCCUCGGAUGGGGAAUAACCACGGGAAACCGUGGCUAAUACCGCAUGACAUCCACUGGUCGCAUGGCCGGUGGAUCAAAGCCUUCGGGUGUCCGGGGAUGGGCCUGCGUCGGAUUAGGUAGUUGGCGAGGUAACGGCUCACCAAGCCUACGAUCCGUAGCUGGUCUGAGAGGAUGAUCAGCCACACUGGCACUGAGACACGGGCCAGACUCCUACGGGAGGCAGCAGUGAGGAAAGAUUGCGCAAUGGGCGAAAGCCUGACAGAGCCACGCCGCGUGGAGGAAGACACCCCUAUGGGGCGUAAACUCCUUUUGUGUGAGAAGAAGGCCCUGGUCUCCAGGGUUUGACGGUAUCGCACGAAUAAGCACCGGCUAACUCCGUGCCAGCAGCCGCGGUAAUACGGAGGGUGCAAGCGUUGUCCGGAUUCACUGGGUGUAAAGGGUGUGUAGGCGGGUCUGUAAGUCAGGGGUGAAAUCCGACGGCUCAACCGUGGAACUGCCUUUGAUACUGCAGAUCUUGAGUCUCGGAGGGGUUGCUGGAAUUCGUGGUGUAGCGGUGAAGUGCGUAGUAUCACGAGGA
rnacentral:rRNA from 1 species